CGGAGGGCCGGGCGGAGCGAGGAGACGGGGCCCGGCGCCCGCUCCCGCUCCGCGCGGCCGGUCGCUUACAUGCCCAGGUCGCUGUAGGUGUUGAAGAACUCCAUCUGGUUGCACGCCUGGAUCCAGCCCACCACCCAGUUGCCCAGUGAUCAAAAAUUUAUGAAGAGUCUCCCAUGUGCCAGGCACCAGGCUAGGUAUUGAGGAUUCAAAGAUGAAUUGGACACCAUUCCUGUCCUGGUGGAACUCGCAGUGUGGGAAGAAAGUCCCGGAGUUUCUGCAUCACGAGCCACCCUGCCCAAGAGAAAGCCAGCCCUCGCUCCCCCUGCCGUCCCUGCAGCGGGUGUACAUUCAUGGUCUGAGUUUGGACCCUCAGAGGUGCAGCAGGAGACCCUGGGCGAACAGCGGCCGCCAUGACCCAUUUCUGACGGCCAAGACCGUUGGCUCUAGGGGACCAGCAACGGCAGGGCAGCUGGGGGCUUCCAGGGCCCAGGGUCGGGGUGCUGGGCCACCCAGGUGCGGGGCCACGUGCUGUCCCUGAUCAUGUUGCCUCCAAGUCUGGCCUCCUGACCCUCCUGGCGAUUUUCUGAGCUACCCAAUAUCCUCUAAUAAAUUCUUUUUCUGCUUCA